rnacentral:antisense_RNA from 18 species
UGUCAUGGCGGCUGCGUAUGGGAGGCCUUUGGGCCUGCCGGUUUUCUCUUUUGCGCCGGUCUUGCAGACCUGUACGUAGCUGCCACCCU